rnacentral:lncRNA from 1 species
CAAAAUGAGACCCUAGCUUAUACAAGCUCAAGAAAAUCAUAUGAUGAUCCCCACCUCCAUAAAGACCUCACCUCCAUGAAAAACCCUGAUUGACAUAAUGCAACUGAUUAGGGUUGACCAGAGGUCAAAACCCUAAUCCCAAGGAAUCUGAGCAUGAAUAAUGAACCAUGAUGAUGAUGAUGAUGUACCAUUUCAACCAAG